rnacentral:rRNA from 1 species
AUUGAACGCUGGCGGCAGGCCUAACACAUGCAAGUCGAGCGGAGCGGCGGACGGGUGAGUAAUGUCUGGGAAACUGCCUGGUGGAGGGGGAUAACUACUGGCAACGGUCGCUAAUACCGCAUACCAUCAGCUGUGCCCAGAUGGAAUUAGCUAGUGGGUGGGGUAAAGGCCUACCAAGGCGACGAUCCGUAACUGGUCUGCGAGGAUGAUCAGGCACACUGGAACUGAGACACGGUCCAGACUCCUACGGGAGGCAGCAGUGGGGAAUAGUGGACAAUGGGCGAAAGCCUGAUCCAGCCAUGCCGCGUGUGUGAAGAAGGUCUUCGGAUGGUAAAGCACUUUAAGUUGGGAGGCGUUACCAACAGAAUAAGCACCGGCUAACUUCGUGCCAGCAGCCGCGGUAAUAC